GACGAACGCUGGCGGCGUGCUUAACACAUGCAAGUCGAACGGAAAGGCCCUGCUUCUGUGGGCUGCUCGAGUGGCGAACGGGUGAGUAACACGUGAGUAGCCUGCCCCUGACUUUGGGAUAAUUUCAGGAAACUGGGGCUAAUACCGGCUAGGAGCGCCUGCUGCCUGGUGGGGGUUGGAAAGUUUCGGCGGUUGGGGAUGGACUCGCGGCUUAUCAGCUUGUUGGUGGGGUAGUGGCUUACCAAGGCUUUGACGGGUAGCCGGCCUGAGAGGGUGACCGGCCACAUUGGGACUGAGAUACGGCCCAGACUCCUACGGGAGGCAGCAGUGGGGAAUAUUGCACAAUGGGCGGAAGCCUGAUGCAGCAACGCCGCGUGCGGGAUGACGGCCUUCGGGUUGUAAACCGCUUUCGCCUGUGACGAAGCGUGAGUGACGGUAAUGGGUAAAGAAGCACCGGCUAACUACGUG
rnacentral:rRNA from 1 species